rnacentral:lncRNA from 1 species
AGUGAGGUGGCCACUGACUGACAGCGGAGAGGGUUACAGGCAGGGAGGAAAUUAUCUCAGGGGCUCUAUGAUAAUCACAAUGCCCAAGUAAACCUCCCCACAGCUGCUUCAGUUCGACUAUGGUCGCAGAUUGAGGCCUUGCAGUCUGCUCUGGACUUGCUCUUAUGCUUUGGCCGAUGCCGCCCCUCCCCAUCGCUGGUCUCUGGGAGCAUCUGGUGGGUGGGUCUCGUACACCAGGCGGGGUGCCACUCUGAGUGGGGUCUGGGAGCUGUUCAGGGCCUGCCGUUGUUCCUCUCACGCCUCACCUGCUGGACCCGUCUUCCCCACUAUCCUUCCUCCAGCACCAGGGUCCUUAACACCUGCGGAGCCUCCCAAGUGGGAAAGAAAGCUCGUUCUUGUUUGUACUUAGUUUCAUGCUCAGUGUAUUAAACUUCAAAGUUGUUAAAACACAUUUAUUUGGAGGUGGUGGCGAUGGUGGCACACAAAUGUAAAUUCACUUAAUGCCACCGAACUGUAUGCCCAAAAAUAGUCAACAUGAUAAAUUUUAUGUGAUGUGUAUUUUACCACAACAAAAAAGCCGUUAAAGUGGGUUGAUUUUCUAAGCGACCUGUUUUCUCUACUACUAAAAAAUAUGAAUUUCAUAACUCAGUGAAAGUCUUUUAAGGAUUCCAUUAAGUCGCAAGUCUCUGUAGACUUUGAACACUUUAAAAGCACCCACAACCAUAGAAGUAAGAGCAGAAUGGGCUGUGCUUAUACAGGACCUGCUAUGUCGUUUGCGGGGCCCAGUAUAAAGUGAAAACCUGGAGCCUUUGUUCAGAAAGCCGGAAGAAUGUGCCACGACAGGGACUAAAACAGAAAGCGUUUUCCUUUCUUUUGAGUCUCUCUUGGUCUGCUGUAGUGUUUCUCAUUUGCUGUUUCAAGUAGUGCCGUCUCAAGGACAGGAUGUUCACGCUUGAGGGCUGACCGUCACAGGUGCUUGGGGCACUGCCCCGCAACUUGGUAUGUGUGUGCCCUGCAGGCUGUCAGCUGCUAAUCCACAUGCCAUGCCCCAGGUGGGUAAGUCGCAUCCCACGGGGCCACUGCAUUAACCCAGCUGUGCCAGCAGCCCCAAAGGAUUACAACCUCCAUGCCAGGACACACGAGGCACCUGGACUCAGGAGGAUGAGAGGCUCAUCUCGAUCGAGUUGCCUGCCAAGUGCACUGGAGCACUGUGAGCCAAGGGUGGGGACAGAUUCCGCCAUCCCCUACCCCAAGCACUGCCUGACUCCGACCCUCCCCACGACUGUGCCCAGGCCCCUGGGUGGGUGGUGGACAGCAGUGGUCACUGAAUGGGAACAGGGAGGGGAGUGCCAGGUGGGCCUGGGUCUCCAGGGCACAGGAAGUGGGCAGCUGAGAACAGCUGCCUCCAAUGAGGUCCACACCUGACAUGGAACAAGAAGCCUCCAGUGACUCAGAGGAGGAAAAUGAGGUCUCUCUCCCAAGAGGCUGCCAGGGCAUAGAUGUACACGUUCCCAGGAGCUUAGAAAGAACCCCAGGCCAGAGGGCAUGGGGCGCAGGGGAGACCCCCGGAGCUGUGGACCUGCUCACCAAUGAAUUUAAUAGCUGAAGUGAUGGAGAAGUCACUGGUUUGAGAUGAGAAUUCCAAGGGACUCUAUAAAGCUUUUUGCCAUCAGGCAAUCUGGGGACUCAAAGAAAGAAAAGUGAAUUAUUGAAAUCAAAGAGUUGCAAAACUGUAUGCCUGAAUGUUAUGGAUUCGAGUGACUAUGAAAUUUAAAUAAGCAACAUCAGUGAUGCUUCCCAAUCAAUCUGGGCUAAGUAAGUCAAAGAAAUCAUAAAAAUAAGAGACAAAAAGGCGACAGGCAAACGGCUAGGGAAAUCUGCUGAGCUGCCAGCGGGUGGAACCCACCCAGAUGCUGAGCACUGUGGCCUUGAGGGCUGCCCCAGGAGGGAACUGAGGAGGACAUGUCUCCCCUGGGUAGUCUGAGGUCAGCCUGGCAAUCACAGGAGGACACCGGCCUUAGCCACAGCCUUGUUCAUCAGGCCUGUCUAUUCCAGGACAUACGGCAGGGAGCUGCAUGGGGUGCUCAUGGCCAGCCACGUGGGGAGGGGUGUGCCCAUUCUGCAGCAUUUCUGAGGCAUAGUAGUAUCAUGGAAACUGAUUUAGCAGAGACUUAAUUCUGUUUUUUGUUUUUUUUUUUGACAGAGUCUUACUCUGUCGCCCAGGCUGAAGUAUGCAGGGGUGUGAUCUCAGCUCCUUGCAACCUUCACCUCCCAGUUUCAAGCAAUUUUCAUGUCUCAGCCUCCCCAGCAGCUGGGAUUACAGGCGCCCGCCACCACGCCCGGCUAAUUUUUGUAUUUUUAGUAG